GAUGAACGCUGGCGGCGUGCCUAAUACAUGCAAGUCGAGCGAACGGACGAGAAGCUUGCUUCUCUGAUGUUAGCGGCGGACGGGUGAGUAACACGUGGAUAACCUACCUAUAAGACUGGGAUAACUUCGGGAAACCGGAGCUAAUACCGGAUGAUAUUUUGAACCGCAUGGUUCAAAAGUGAAAGACGGUCUUGCUGUCACUUAUAGAUGGAUCCGCGCUGCAUUAGCUAGUUGGUAAGGUAACGGCUUACCAAGGCAACGAUGCAUAGCCGACCUGAGAGGGUGAUCGGCCACACUGGAACUGAGACAGGGUCCAGACUCCUACGGGAGGCAGCAGUAGGGAAUCUUCCGCGAUGGGCGAAAGCCUGACGGAGCAACGCCGCGUGAGUGAUGAAGGUCUUCGGAUCGUAAAACUCUGUUAUUAGGGAAGAACAUAUGUGUAAGUAACUGUGCACAUCUUGACGGUACCUAAUCAGAAAGCCACGGCUAACUACGUG
rnacentral:rRNA from 1 species